rnacentral:tRNA from 1 species
GAGUCCUUCAUGGCUCACCAUGUUUUUCUUGCGGAUAUCUGACUUUUAAUCAGAGGGUCGAAGGUUCGAGUCCUUCAUGGCUCACCA